rnacentral:rRNA from 1 species
GUCAGGUAGUAAGGGCGCAGGGCGGAUGCCUUGGCUCUGGGAAGCGAUGAAGGACGUGGCUAGCUGCGAUAAGCCUCGGGGAAGAGCAAACAUCUUUUGAUCCGGGGAUUUCCGAAUGGGGGAACCCGCAUGGCUGUUGAGGCCAUGCACUGUUGAGUGAAUACAUAGCUCAUCAGGGCGAACUCGGGGAACUGAAACAUCUCAGUACCCGAAGGAAUAGAAAUCAACCGAGAUUCUGCUAGUAGCGGCGAGCGAACGCGGAAGAGCCCAAACCAUCAGGUGCGCCUGAUGGGGUUGUAGGGCCGUCAAUAAAGGAUAAUUGGAGAAUUAGCUGAAGUGUCUGGGAAGGCACGGCACAGAGGGUUAGACCCCCGUAAGCGAAAGUUUGAAGAUGUCCGAGACGGUACCUGAGUAGGACGGGACACGAGAAAUCCCGUUUGAAUCUGGGGGGACCACCCUCCAAGGCUAAAUAUUACCCAGAGACCGAUAGUGAACCAGUACCGUGAGGGAAAGGUGAAAAGCACCUCGAAUAGAGGAGUGAAAUAGAUCCUGAAACCCUGUGUCUACAAGCAGUGGAAGCACUACUGAUCUUCGGAUCAUGUGCGACCGCGUGCCUUUUGCAUAAUGAGCCAACGAGUUGUCUGUCGGUGGCAGGUUAAGUUUUUAACGAAGCCACAGCGAAAGCGAGUCCGAAAUGGGCGUUAGUCAUCGGCAACAGACCCGAAACCGAGUGAUCUACCCCUGUCCAGGUUGAAGCCUGGGUAAGACCAGGUGGAAGACCGAACCGUUGAGCCUUAAAACGUUCUCGGAUGAGGUGGGGGUAGGAGUGAAAGGCUAAUCAAACUCGGAGAUAGCUGGUUCUCCCCGAAAUAUAUUGAGGUAUAGCCUCGUGAUAGACCGCCGGAGGUAGAGCACUGGAUGGACUAGGGCCCUCACCAGGGUACCAAACCCAACCAAACUGCGAAUACCGGCGAGUUGUUUCACGGGAGUCAGACAGCGGGAGCUAACUUUCGUUGUCGAGAGGGAAACAACCCAGACCAUCAGCUAAGGCCCCCAAGUCAUGACUAAGUGGGAAAGGAAGUGGGAGCGCCCAGACAACCAGGAGGUUGGCUUAGAAGCAGCCACCCUUUAAAGAAAGCGUAACAGCUCACUGGUCGAGCGAGCCUGCACCGAAAAUAUAACGGGGCUCAAGUCAUGCGCCGAAGCUAUGGGAUUUAUAUUUAUAUAAAUCGGUAGGGGAGCGUUCCCUGUGCGGCGAAGCUGAAUCGAGAGGGUCAGUGGAGCGCAGGGAAGUGAGGAUGUUGGCAUAAGUAACGAAAAUGCGAGCGAGAAACUCGCACGCCGAAAGCCCAAGGUUUCCCGGGCCAUGUUAUUCAGCCCGGGGUUAGUCGGCACCUAAGACGAGGCCGAAAGGCGUAGUCGAUGGAAAACCGGUUCAUAUUCCGGUACUUGCAUGUGCGCGUGAUGGAGGGACGCAGGAGGAUAGCCCGGCCAAGUGAUGGAUAUCUUGGUUCAAGGCCGUAGGCGGAAGUCUCAGGUAAAUCCGGGACUUCUAUAACGCCGAGAGUCGAUGACGAGAGGCUUUGCUUCGCAAAGCGGUCGAUUCCACACUGCCAAGAAAAGCUUCUAAGCAUAGCACAGGCAAACCGUACCCCAAACCGACACAGGUGGGCGGGUAGAGAAUACCAAGGCGCUUGAGGGAAAUCAUGUUAAGGAACUCUGCAAAAUAACUCCGUAACUUCGGAAGAAGGAGUGCCUGCGGUGGUGAAGGGACUUGCUCCCUGAGCUGCUGCGGGCCGCAGUGACCAGGCCCAGCCGACUGUUUAGCAAAAACACAGCACUCUGCUAAAUCGCAAGAUGAUGUAUAGGGUGUGACGCCUGCCCGGUGCCGGAAGGUUAAUGGGAGGGGUUAGUUCUUCGGAACGAAGCUCCGAACUGAAGCCCCGGUAAACGGCGGCCGUAACUAUAACGGUCCUAAGGUAGCGAAAUUCCUUGUCGGGUAAGUUCCGACCUGCACGAAUGGCGUAACGAUCUGGGCGCUGUCUCAAUGUGAUUCUCAGUGAAAUUGAAAUGGCGGUGAAGAUACC